rnacentral:rRNA from 1 species
CCUACGGGCGGCAGCAGUGAGGAAUAUUGGUCAAUGGGCGGAAGCCUGAACCAGCCAAGUAGCGUGCAGGAUGACGGCCCUACGGGUUGUAAACUGCUUUUAUACGGGAAUAACGCGCCUUACGUGUAGGGCUUUGCAUGUACCGUAUGAAUAAGGACCGGCUAAUUCCGUGCCAGCAGCCGCGGUAAUACGGAAGGUCCGGGCGUUAUCCGGAUUUAUUGGGUUUAAAGGGAGCGUAGGCCGCAUGUCAAGCGUGCUGUGAAAUGUCCGGGCUCAACCCGGGCCUUGCAGCGCGAACUGGCGUACUGGAGUCCGCGGAAAGCAGGCGGAAUUCGUCGUGUAGCGGUGAAAUGCUUAGAUAUGACGAAGAACCCCGAUUGCGAAGGCAGCUUGCUGCAGCGGAACUGACGCUGAUGCUCGAAAGCGCGGGUAUCGAACAGGAUUAGAUACCCCAGUAGUC